rnacentral:lncRNA from 10 species
UAGACUCAGGUUGAGGCCCUGGUGACAUGGCCAGUGGGGACCUAAGUGAAUGAUACUGACCCGAAUGGCUUAACUCGAGUGCCACGGGGCCCUCGUAUGCCUGAGCUAAAUGAGAACACUGUCGUGGGGGCCUGCAUCAAUACUGCUCUUCCCUAGGUCUCCACCUUCACUCAGACCGGAAGCAGCUCUGAUGCAGGGUUUGUGUGCUGAAGUCCUGUUUCCAGGGGCCUUCUCAGUGAGGGAGAAGGUCCACCAUAUGUAACAAAUCUGCAUAUUGUGCACAUGUACCCUAAAACUUAAAGUAUAAUUAAAAAAAAAAAAGAGCAUGCUCUCUGGACACAGACAAACAGAGGCCAAAUCCCAGCUUUGCUGCUGUGUGACUCUGAGCAGGUGACUUAACCUCUCUGAACUUCAACUUCCCUGCUCUUUCCCUCCAUCUCUGCUUCAGACCCUGCAUCUUGGGCUUUCUGUCAGACACAGUCUUCCCAUGUCUAGUUUCUCUCUCCUCAGCCUCUCUCAGCCUUGGUGCUCCCCCACCCCAAACCCCUUGGAGUCCCAUUAAUUUUGAGAGGCUGUCUGUAUGGGUUGCCGCCUGGCCCAGUCCUGGGGCUCGGAGAGCUGUGUAAUUAUCCACUUGGAGCUGAGGGGAAGCGAUAACCAGUUCUCCCUCCCUUCUUCCCUGCCUGCCUCGCUAUUCCGUUUCGCUCAAACAUCCCCAGGGAAGCCGAUUACGGAGGGGCCCGCUGGGUGAGGAGGGUGGGAUCCUCAUUACCUUGUGGAAGGUCAGAGAGACUGAAUGGCGGGGGCAUCCCUCCAACCUCCACCAAGCACUAAGGCCACAGUUGGUCUGGACACCCCAGGCCUGGCCCCUUUUGUCUGUCCUGGGCAUCACGGCUUACUCUCUGGAUCAUUAUCUCCAGCUAGGAGCGUCCUCCCGUGCUCCAGACUUGUUCAGCCAACUCUCCCCAGACAUCUCCCUCCAACUGAACACCUCCAAACUGGAUGCGCCAUCUCCCCCUCCCAGACCUGCUUCCCCCAACCUCUCUCUCCUCCCCUUUCCUGCCCCUCCCCAACCCUGAUCUCCUGAAGCGCCACCCACUGAGGCUGUCCAGCAAGGCACCUGAACAGCAUUUCCAUCUCCUCCCUUUGCCUCAUUCCCCUUGGCUAAUCAGACACCAGGUCCCCAAAAUAUCUCCAGCCACAAUCCUCUAUUCCUCAGACCACCAGGCCCAGGCUCCAGGUGCUAAAAGUGACCUGGGAGUGGACCCCUUCACCUGGACACCCUGAGGUCCCUUCACACUGGCAAUGGCCUGGUCUGACAACGUCAUCUCCCCACCCUCAAGUUCUCCUGCCUCUACCUGUGGCACCCCCACCCUUCCUAAUCACUGAUACCAAACCUGUCUCCCUCCUCACUCUCCUCCCACAGACAGCCAGACAGUCUCCAUACUGUGGUAAGAGAAUAGACUCUGGGGUCAACAAGAACUGAGCCACAACCCCAGCUCCAUCAAUCCCUAACUAUGUGGUCUGGAGCAAAUCACGUUAUCUCUGACUCUCAGUUUUAUCAUCUAUAAAAUGGAACUAAGUGGGCUUUGCAGGGCUAUUGGGAAGAUGAGUUGACAGUGUCCAGGAUUACCAUCCUAAUGACUACAAGGUAGGGCCAGCUGCUUGUCAACUCCAGCUCUUGAUGCUACAGGGAAUAUAGACCCCAUGCUGCCAGAUCCUCUAGAACUUCCCCCAAAAUAUGUUUUCAUAUGGAACCUCCAGAUUUUGAUAUGUUGGUAAUUAAUUGAAAUGUUUCUUUAGAACCGUGAAGGCCAAACAAAACAUUUGCCUCCAGGUCACCAGUUUGCACUCUCUGAUGUAUGUGAGGAGUUGGGCCCAGUGAAUGCUACAUAACAGAGAGUCAAUAAACAUUAAUUCCCUUCCCUUCUCUGCCCUUCUUAUUGAUUCUCUCAAAAGAAAAAAAAAUCUCCCCAAGCCAUUCCUCCCAUUCCACUCCCAUCAUCUUCAUCUUCAUGCAGCUUUCACUAGCUCUGUGCAUCCACAGAUCCAGGCAGGGCUCUGAGCACCUCACCCAAGAUGCCCUGCCUUCCCUGGCAUCCUCCCUGGCACCCUCCCUGGCUCACAGGCAGAACAAAGCUCUUUGCUUGGGUCUGACACUUCAUAGUUGACAGAGAUCUUGCUAUGGUCCGAAUGUGUCCCCCAAAAUUCAUAUGUUGGAAACUUCAUCCCUGAUGUAUUGGGGGGUGGGGCCCUUGGGGAGGUGUUUAGGUAAUGAGGGCUUCACCCUCAUGAAUGGAUUAAUGACAUUAUAAAGUGGCUUAAUAGAAGAAGUUUGACCGUUUUGGCCCUUCUGCCUCUGCCACGUGAGGACACAGCAUUCCUCCUCUCUGAAGG